CGCUGUUUGUUGCGAACCGGGAUCGGGCCGAAUCGAGCACGAUCGAGCGCAUCUCAUGCUAAAAAAAGCACUUCGUUCAAACGUAGGCCAGGACUUGGUCGAGUCAUUAAAAGAAUGACUGAGGUUACAGCGGGUUCAAGAGGGUCCGAACAGAUCAUCACCGAUUUGCUGCUGAGUCAACUCAACUCAAACACUGUUAUGGUCGCUAACG
rnacentral:lncRNA from 1 species